UACAGAGGGUCCAAGCGUUAUCCGGAAUCACUGGGCGUAAAGCGUGCGUAGGUGGCGUGUUAAGUGUGAUGUUAAAUCGCGGGGCUCAACCCUGUCGAUGUGUCGCAUACUGGCAUGCUAGAGGGAAGCAGAGGCAAGUGGAAUUUGUAGUGUAGCAGUGAAAUGCGUAGAUAUUACAAGGAACACCAAUGGCGAAGGCAGCUUGCUGGGCUUCUUCUGACACUGAGGUACGAAAGCGUGGGGAGCGAACAGG
rnacentral:rRNA from 1 species